ensembl:lncRNA
GACACAACGACCGAGACUGUCCAAGCUGGGGCUCGAACCGGCAACCUUCCGAUUACAAGGCGAACUCCCAACUCUUGAGCCACGAUCGCCCCGUAUCUACUUUAUCAGACAUGUUAAUCCCUCCAACAAGCACUUACUGUAAUGACAAAUUAUUAUACAUCUAUCUAUCUAUCUAUCUAUCUAUCUAUCUAUCGAUAACAAACAUUUACAAGAUUGAUUCAAAUGCUAAAAAAAAAAAAAAGACAGCAAUUGUCAAUUUUCCUGAUCAUAACACUUUUUGUUUUCAAUUUAAAAACAGAAAGCAACAUCAAGAGAGACAGAGGGAUAAAGUAAACAAAGCAAGAGGAAAAAAGAGAACAAGAAUGCCAAGAGUGGUGUCUCACCACCUAUCCCAAGACCCUCUUCUGGAGCUCUCUCUCCCGUUGUUUGAUGCAUGCUCAAUCAUCCAGGGGAAACGGAUAGGAACACAGCCGGACCAGCUGGCUGCAAAUCUCUGCAAUCUGCUGCUUAGUUAAGCUGGCACACACACACACACACACACACACACACACACACACACACACACACACACACACACACACACACACACACACACACACACACACACACACACAGACAAAUGCAUGCAUUGGAUAAAUACUUAAUUAUAUUCACUUAUGUACUAAACAACAGUUAAAAAUAACAUUUAAUAAAAAGGCCAGUCCAUAAAUGACCACAGAUGAGUGACUAACAGCAGAAAUGAAGUGAUUUGUGUAAUUUGGCAUUGACAGCCACUGUACACACUAGCUCUUGAUCCACUAGUGAAACCAGUCUCUGCAGAAAAGCAAAGUCAUUUGCUGGUUAUUAAAAUAAUUUAUUACAACUCUCAAUAUUCUCUUAAUUAAAAUUCACUUAUCGCAGUUGGGGACUUGAGAGCUGGACUAUUAAGGAGAGCUCCACUGAAUGCAUGUAAAGGAAUAUGUGCAUAUGUAAAUAUCCAAGCAUUUGUGUGUGUGUGUAUGAGUGAGUGUGUAUACAGCCGCCCAUGUGCCCAAACAUGGCUUUUAAUCACCAGUUUUCUUGAUUAAGCAAUACUGUGGGGUAAUUUGUUUAAAAAAAUAUUAUAUCCGCCACGAGGCAGCCGAAGCGUCUGGACUUCUUUAAGUUGCUUGAAGACGUUUCACCUCUCAUCCGAGAAGCUUCUUCAGUUCUAAGGUCAAAUGGUGGAGAGUCCCAG